GAUGAACGCUGGCGGCGUGCCUAAUACAUGCCAGUCGAGCGAACGGACGAGAAGCUUGCUUUUCUGAUGUUAGCGGCGGACGGGUGAGUAACACGUGGAUAACCUACCCAUAAGACUGGGAUAACUUCGGGAAACCGGAGCUAAUACCGGAUAAUAUUUUGAACCGCAUGGUUCAAAAGUGAAAGACGGUCUUGCUGUCACUUAUAGAUGGAUCCGCGCUGCAUUAGCUAGUUGGUAAGGUAACGGCUUACCAAGGCAACGAUGCAUAGCCGACCUGGGAGGGUGAUCGGCCACACUGGAACUGAGACACGGUCCAGACUCCUACGGGAGGCAGCAGUAGGGAAUCUUCCGCAAUGGGCGAAAGCCUGACGGAGCAACGCCGCGUGAGUGAUGAAGGUCUUCGGAUCGUAAAACUCUGUUAUUAGGGAAGAACAUAUGUGUAAGUAACUGUGCACAUCUUGACGGUACCUAAUCAGAAAGCCACGGCUAACUACGUG
rnacentral:rRNA from 1 species